rnacentral:rRNA from 1 species
UGGGGAAUUUUGGACAAUGGGCGAAAGCCUGAUCCAGCAAUGCCGCGUGUGUGAAGAAGGCCUUCGGGUUGUAAAGCACUUUUGUCCGGAAAGAAAUCCUUGGCUCUAAUACAGUCGGGGGAUGACGGUACCGGAAGAAUAAGCACCGGCUAACUACGUGCCAGCAGCCGCGGUAAUACGUAGGGUGCAAGCGUUAAUCGGAAUUACUGGGCGUAAAGCGUGCGCAGGCGGUUUGCUAAGACCGAUGUGAAAUCCCCGGGCUCAACCUGGGAACUGCAUUGGUGACUGGCAGGCUAGAGUAUGGCAGAGGGGGGUAGAAUUCCACGUGUAGCAGUGAAAUGCGUAGAGAUGUGGAGGAAUACCGAUGGCGAAGGCAGCCCCCUGGGCCAAUACUGACGCUCAUGCACGAAAGCGUGGGGAGCAAACAGGAUUAGAUACCCUGGUAGUCCACGCCCUAAACGAUGUCAACUAGUUGUCGGGUCUUCAUUGACUUGGUAACGUAGCUAACGCGUGAAGUUGACCGCCUGGGGAGUACGGUCGCAAGAUUAAAACUCAAAUGAAUUGACGGGGUCAUAGCUGUUUUCCU